rnacentral:RNase_P_RNA from 1 species
GGAGUUAGCCAGGUAAUCGCUGCUUAGGCAGAGGAAAGUCCGGGCUCCACAGGGCAGGGUGCCAGGUAACGCCUGGGAGGCGCGAGCCUACGGCAAGUGCAGCAGAAAGUAUACCGCCUGCGAGAGCAGGUAAGGGUGAAAUGGUGUGGUAAGAGCGCACCGCAUCGUUGGCAACAGCGAUGGCAANGUAAACCCCACCUGGAGCAAGACCAAAUAGGAACCCAGAUGCUGCUGCCCGUAGUUGGGUUCGGGUAGGUCGCUAUAGGUGCUUGGUGACAAGNAUCACAGAUGAAUGAUUACCCUAGACAGAACCCGGCUUACUGCUAACUCCCGGU